GCAAAUGUUUACAGUACCUUACUCCAAAGCUCAGGUCUCCAUAGCAGUUCAUCAGCGUGUUGGACAGACUCUUCUCUUGAACCUUGGACCUGACGUUGAACAAGGAGAAAAUAGAUAACUGCGUAAAUAUAGUAGAUCUUCAUUGCUUAGCACAAACGUAACUUUUUUUUUUGGACAAGCGCAUGACUGCUACAAUUCAUGUGAAGAUGUUUGUCACACAUAUAGAAACAAAUGUUGGGGUUUUACGAAUC